AUUGAACGCUGGCGGCGUGCCUAAUACAUGCAAGUCGAACUCCGUGGGUACGGGUGAGUAACACGUGGGUAACCUCCCAUCAGAGGGGAUAACACCUGGUAACAGGUGCUAAACCGAUACUGAUGGAUGGACCCGCGGUGCAUUAGCUAGUUGGUGAGGUAACGGCUCACCAAGGCCACGAUGCAUAGCCGACCUGAGAGGGUGAUCGGUCACCCGGGGCCUGUGACACGUCCCAAACUCCUACGGGAGGGAGGAGGAGAGAGUCUUCGGCAAUGAACGGAAGGCGACCCGGGCAACGCCGCGUGAGUGAAGAAGGUUAUCGGAUCGUGAAGCUCUGUUGUUAGAGGAGCGGUAUCUAACCAGAAAGCCACGGCUAACUACGUGCCAGCGGCCGCGGUAAUAC
rnacentral:rRNA from 1 species